GACGAACGCUGGCGGCGUGCCUAAUACAUGCAAGUCGAACGCAGUGGGGACGGGUGGGUAACACGUGGGUAACCUCCCAUCAGAGGGGAUACAACUUGGAAACAGGUGCUAAACCGAUACUGAUGGAUGAACCCGCGGUGAAUUAGCUAGUUGGUGAGGGAACGGCUCACCAAGGCCACGAUGCAUAGCCGGCCUGAGAGGUGGAUCAGCCACACUGGGACUGAGACACGGCCCAGACGCCGACGGGAGGCAGCAGUAGGGAAUAUUGGGCAAUGGACGAAAGUCUGACCGAGCAACGCCGCGUGAUUGAAGAAGGCCUUAGGGUUGUAAAGUACUUUCAGCGGGGAGGCGUUACCCGCAGAAGAAGCACCGGCUAACUCCGUGCCAGCAGCCGCGGUAAUAC
rnacentral:rRNA from 1 species